ensembl:processed_transcript
CACAUUUGGUCCACAGUGGUUUUGGUGGCCCGAACAUCAGCACUUCAAAAGUCACGCGUAGACAUUUGUUAUCCUCAACGGUAUUCAUAGCUGCAUGUGAGAGAAGAGAAGAAGCACAGAUAAACACAGGAGAGACAGAGAGUCACUUUGACAGAAAAUCACAUAAAAAUUCAUUUAAAAAAUCAGACCCCUUUGGCAGUUCGAUUUGAAGAAUCAUGUCACCUGUUGUUCAUUUUGGAUUGCUUAUGGCAUGCUCAGUUCUUGUUGGGUGUAGCAGUGUUGCUAACAAGGAAAAAUGGAUGAAUCUUCUUGAGAGAAAUGAGAUGAAGUUUCCUGAAGAAGUCAAAAAGAGUGAUGGAGUACAAAUAGAGUCUGAGAAUGUCAUUGCCUGCUGGGUUUGCAAGAAGUCCGUUCAUCAGCUCAAGGGUUUGGUUCUUCAUGAGAUUAAUAAGGAAAUAAAGGCUGUGUGUAAAGCAAUGAAAGUCUUCAACCAUAUCUGCAAGCAACAGGCAUAUAAAUACCAGCUCUUUGUACUUCAUCUGCUGUUUCCUCAUAAUAGCAGUCAAACCUGUCAGCAUUUGAAGAUGUGUAAAUAAAUGUGUUUGAUCUGCUGUGAAUAAACAUGGUAAAUCUUUGAUAAUGUUUUGAAUAAAUUAAAAUUAUUAAUUAAAAUAUGUGUGUGCUUAAUGCCUUGACAAUUUUGUUUUUAAUAUAAAGUGUGCAUUGUUACUUCUGUAGUGUAACUUUUGUGAAAUCUUAAGUCAAAGAUUCAAUAAAUUGUUG